AUUGAACGCUGGCGGCAGGCUUAACACAUGCAAGUCGAGCGGGGGAAGGUAGCUUGCUACUGGACCUAGCGGCGGACGGGUGAGUAAUGCUUAGGAAUCUGCCUAUUAGUGGGGGACAACAUCUCGAAAGGGAUGCUAAUACCGCAUACGUCCUACGGGAGAAAGCAGGGGAUCUUCGGACCUUGCGCUAAUAGAUGAGCCUAAGUCGGAUUAGCUAGUUGGUGGGGUAAAGGCCUACCAAGGCGACGAUCUGUAGCGGGUCUGAGAGGAUGACCCGCCACCCUGGGACUGAAAAACGGCCCAGAAUCCUACGGGAGGCAGCAGUGGGGAAUAUUGGACAAUGGGGGGAACCCUGAUCCAGCCAUGCCGCGUGUGUGAAGAAGGCCUUAUGGUUGUAAAGCACUUUAAGCGAGGAGGAGGCUCUUUUGGUUAAUACCCAAGAUGAGUGGACGUUACUCGCAGAAUAAGCACCGGCUAACUCUGUGCCAGCCGCCGCCGUAA
rnacentral:rRNA from 1 species